UAUAGGGUGCCCCAUAGGUGCCCAUAGGGUGGUUAUAGGGUGCCCCAUAGGGUGGUUAUAGGGUGCCCCAUAGGUGCCCAUAGGGUGGUUAUAGGGUGCCCCAUAGGGUGGUUAUAGGGUGCCCCAUAGCUGCCCAUAGGGUGGUUAUAGGGUGCCCCAUAGCUGCCCAUAGGGUGGUUAUAGGGUGCCCCAUAGGGUGGCCAUAGGGUGCCCCAUAGAUGCCCACAGGGUGGUUAUAGGGUGCCCCAUAGGUGCCCAUAGGGUGCCCCAUAGGUGCCCAUAGGGUGGUUAUAGGGUGCCCCAUAGGG
ensembl:lncRNA